rnacentral:rRNA from 1 species
CCUACGGGGGGCUGCAGUGGGGAAUAUUGGACAAUGGGCGAAAGCCUGAUCCAGCCAUGCCGCGUGUGUGAAGAAGGCCUUCGGGUUGUAAAGCACUUUCAGUGGGGAAGAAAGCCUUGGGGCUAAUACCCUCGAGGAAGGACAUCACCCACAGAAGAAGCACCGGCUAACUCCGUGCCAGCAGCCGCGGUAAUACGGAGGGUGCGAGCGUUAAUCGGAAUUACUGGGCGUAAAGCGCGCGUAGGCGGUCUGAUAAGCCGGUUGUGAAAGCCCCGGGCUCAACCUGGGAACGGCAUCCGGAACUGUCAGGCUAGAGCGCAGGAGAGGAAGGUAGAAUUCCCGGUGUAGCGGUGAAAUGCGUAGAGAUCGGGAGGAAUACCAGUGGCGAAGGCGGCCUUCUGGACUGACACUGACGCUGAGGUGCGAAAGCGUGGGUGGCAAACAGGAUUAGAUACCCCAGUAGUC